rnacentral:tRNA from 3 species
GCCGAGGUAGCUCAGUAGGUAGAGCAGAGGACUGAAAAUCCUCGUGUCGCUGGUUCGAUUCCGGCCCUCGGCACCA